AUAUCAAUGAUGUGGGAAUUGCAGCAAAAGUGAUUUGAAGCAAUCCCAUACUUCAUGAAAGGAUUCAAUAUUCUUUUGAUAAAAGUUAGAAAUUUUAGCCCUUAAUUU
rfam:Ricinus communis cultivar Hale ctg_1100012356586, whole genome shotgun sequence.